CACGUAGGGGGCAAGCGUUGUCCGGAUUUAUUGGGCGUAAAGAGCUCGUAGGCGGUUCGGUAAGUCGGGUGUGAAACCUCCAGGCUCAACCUGGAGACGCCACCCGAUACUGCUGUGACUAGAGUCCGGUAGGGGAGCGUGGAAUUCCUGGUGUAGCGGUGAAAUGCGCAGAUAUCAGGAGGAACACCGAUGGCGAAGGCAGGUCUCUGGGCAUUAACUGACGCUGAGGAGCGAAAGCAUGGGGAGCGAACAGG
rnacentral:rRNA from 1 species